GCCCGCCCGCAGGCCAGCUUCUCUCGGGAGCCUCCACCCAGGCGCAUGGCUCCAUGAAGCAAGAGGAGGAGGCAGAGCGCGAGAGAUCCCGUCCGCCCCAGCCGCGUCUGGGCCAGGAGAAAAGCAAAACCAUAUUCCUGCUGCUGUCAGUUUUGAUGCACUGAGAAAACUUCAGAGACCUAAGCUUUUUCCAGAGAAGAGAAGCUUUACUGGUGUUCCAGCCCUAAGCAUUGACUUCACUAAUGGAUGUGACCUGGUUGGCAGCAGUAGCUUGCACAACAUGCUUGUUUGCAAAACUUAAAUCCUCAGUGUGACACAACUCAGUCCUUCUACUGCAGCAGCUCUUUUAUAAAAGCCUCCCAAAGCUCCAAGAAGGAACAAAGAAUGUGACCCAGUAAGCUCACACCAUAAGUCUAUAUUGCAGAAACCUUUGUUCAACAAAACUGCAGAUGCUCUGUUGAAUCCACUGGAGAUUGUCCUGAUACUAAGGACAAGUAUGCUCAUAUGACAUUAACAGACAAGACACUUUUCAGAAAGACAGGUUGUUCUUUUGGGCCACAUCUAAGAAAUCUUUGUCUAGCCAAAAGCCACAAAUAAUUUCUCAUUUUUUGGCUUCUGGAAGAUGUACAGUUAAAUGUUAUAUUUGGGACUGUUAUCUAAUUUGAUUAAAUUGCACUCUACAAUAUGAUAUUUGAAUUGAUGAAAAAUUAGUAAAUGUUAAUAUUUUUUAAAGUA
rnacentral:lncRNA from 1 species